rnacentral:rRNA from 1 species
GACGAACGCUGGCGGCGCGCUUAACACAUGCAAGUCGAACGGUAAGGCCCUUCGGGGUACACGAGUGGCGAACGGGUGAGUAACACGUGGGUGAUCUGCCCUGCACUUCGGGAUAAGCCUGGGAAACUGGGUCUAAUACCGGAUAGGACCACUGCCUGCAUGGGGGGUGGGGGAAAGCUUUUGCGGUGUGGGAUGGGCCCGCGGCCUAUCAGCUUGUUGGUGGGGUGAUGGCCGACCAAGGCGACGACGGGUAGCCGGCCUGAGAGGGUGACCGGCCACACUGGGACUGAGAUACGGCCCAGACUCCUACGGGAGGCAGCAGUGGGGAAUAUUGCACAAUGGGCGCAAGCCUGAUGCAGCGACGCCGCGUGAGGGAUGACGGCCUUCGGGUUGUAAACCUCUUUCAGCACCGACGAAGCGCAAGUGACGGUAGGUGCAGAAGAAGGACCGGCCAACUACGUGCCAGCCGCCGCAGUAA